rnacentral:rRNA from 1 species
UACGGAGGGUGCAAGCGUUGUCCGGAUUUAUUGGGUUUAAAGGGUGCGUAGGCGGCCCGUUAAGUCAGUGGUGAAAGCCUCCAGCUCAACUGGAGAACUGCCAUUGAUACUGACGGGCUUGAGUACAGACGAGGUUGGCGGAAUUGAUUGUGUAGCGGUGAAAUGCGUAGAGAUCGGGAGGAACACCAGAGGCGAAGGCGGCGACCUGGACAGGAACUGACACUCAACUACGAAAGCGUGGGGAGCAAACAGG